CCUGAACCUCUUGGAACCACCAUAUCAUUAAAAAAGCCAGAAUGAAAGACCAUGUGGAGAAAGUGAGACCCACUGUCCCAGUGGAGCCCAGCCCCAAGUCAACCUGCCAGCUGACUGCUAUGCCAUGAAUUAGCCCAGAUGUUGAGUCCAUUCGACCUGGUGGGAAGAGGAUUAACAUCACCCCAAAAGGAAGCUUUUGGUGAAAGCUUCAUCUCUUCAGAAAGGACUUGAACUCACAACCACAAGAUCAAGAGUUGCAUGCUGUACUGACUGCUAACUGAGCCAGCCAGGUACCACAAGGACUGCAACACUUUAAACUCUCCGGAACAGUAUACAUCCAUACUUAUUUCCUCAAUCCUUCAUCAACUAUCAAGAAACUGAGGCUUGAAGAAGUUUUUCAUUUUUUCAAAUCACACCGUUGGUAUGCACAGAAUUGGAAUUACAAUCAUGGUCUGUAUUUUAAAUUUGUGCUCUUAACUAUGACCCUGUAGAGAAGAAAUUCAAACUACUAGCAACAUCCAGCACCUUCACAAAUGAUGAUCCCAAAGAGAAACCAUGGAAUUGAAUCUUUUGAGUGCCAUGAUUUCCAUCUGUAUUUCAAAGAGCACUAUGAAAUAAGUCAUCCUCACUAAUCAUUCUGGCAAUCCAUUAUUUCAGCCAUUGUGACAAAGCAGCAACUGACUGGUGGUAUAUAUUUAUUUUGAAAUUAAUCAAAGUGAUAAGCCUAGUGCUUCUGAAAGUCAUUUCAAAGGAA